rnacentral:rRNA from 1 species
UGGGGAAUAUUGGGCAAUGGAGGCAACUCUGACCCAGCCAUGCCGCGUGGGUGACGAAGGUCUUCGGAUUUUAAAGCCCUUUCGGCGGGGACGAUGGUGACGGUACCCGCAGAAGAAGCCCCGGCUAACUUCGUGCCAGCAGCCGCGGUAAUACGAAGGGGGCUAGCGUUGUUCGGAAUUACUGGGCGUAAAGGGCGUGUAGGCGGCCCGUUAGGACAGGUGUGAAAUUCCUGGGCUCAACCCAGGACGUGCGCCUGUGACUGGCGGGCUUGAAUCCGGGAGAGGAUGGUGGAACUCCCAGUGUAGAGGUGAAAUUCGUAGAUAUUGGGAAGAACACCCGUGGCGAAGGCGGCCAUCUGGACCGGUAUUGACGCUAAGGCGCGACAGCGUGGGGAGCAAACA